rnacentral:misc_RNA from 1 species
GUAGGUGAACCUGCGGAAGGAUCAUUACCUCUCAAUGCAGAAGAGUUGAGGUGGUUGAGUAUCUCGCCCCUCACUUCUCGCUGUAUUUUACCCUUGUUUUUCUCAUACUAUUAUUUCCUCGGCAGGCCAGCCUGCCGGGUGAAACAACUUCGAACCUGUUUAAUUUUCAAUCAGCGUCUGAACAAAUUAAUAAUUACAACUUUCAACAACGGAUCUCUUGGUUCUG